AUACCUUUCUCGGCCUUUUGGCUAAGCUCAAGGAGUCUCUGUUCUUAAUCAGUUUAAUAUCUGCUAUGUGGGCCCAAUGGUCCCCACGAUUAUUAAAUAAUUUUUACGGGGGGGAAGGCCCCCCGCCACCUAAGCUUGCUAUUGGGGUUACGGCGAGUCGCCCAAGUGCUUCUUGUGCACUACUGCUCGGCCAGCGCACCCCAC